GCCAUGAAUCUGGUCUUGGGACACUGUCAGGUGGGCAGUUUGACUGGGGCGGUCGCCUCCCAAAAGGUAACGGAGGCGCUCAAAGGUUCUCUCAGUACGGUCGGAAAUCGUACGCAGAGUGUAAAGGCAAAAGAGAGCUUGAUUGCAAGACAUACAGGUCGAGCAAGGAUGAAAAUCGGACUUAGUGAUCCGGGGGUUCUGCGUGGAAGGGCCAUCGCUCAACGGAUAAAAGCUACCCUGGGGAUAACAGGCUUAUCUCCCCC
rnacentral:rRNA from 1 species